CAGUGAAAUUGAACUCGCUGUGAAGAUGCAGUGUACCCGCGGCAAGACGGAAAGACCCCGUGAACCUUUACUAUAGCUUGACACUGAACAUUGAGCCUUGAUGUGUAGGAUAGGUGGGAGGCUUUGAAGUGUGGACGCCAGUCUGCAUGGAGCCGACCUUGAAAUACCACCCUUUAAUGUUUGAUGUUCUAACGUUGACCCGUAAUCCGGGUUGCGGACAGUGUCUGGUGGGUAGUUUGACUGGGGCGGUCUCCUCCUAAAGAGUAACGGAGGAGCACGAAGGUUGGCUAAUCCUGGUCGGACAUCAGGAGGUUAGUGCAAUGGCAUAAGCCAGCUUGACUGCGAGCGUGACGGCGCGAGCAGGUGCGAAAGCAGGUCAUAGUGAUCCGGUGGUUCUGAAUGGAAGGGCCAUCGCUCAACGGAUAAAAGGUACUCCGGGGAUAACAGGCUGAUACCGCCCAAGAGUUCAUAUCGACGGCGGUGUUUGGCACCUCGAUGUCGGCUCAUCACAUCCUGGGGCUGAAGUAGGUCCCAAGGGUAUGGCUGUUCGCCAUUUAAAGUGGUACGCGAGCUGGGUUUAGAACGUCGUGAGACAGUUCGGUCCCUAUCUGCCGUGGGCGCUGGAGAACUGAGGGGGGCUGCUCCUAGUACGAGAGGACCGGAGUGGACGCAUCACUGGUGUUCGGGUUGUCAUGCCAAUGGCACUGCCCGGUAGCUAAAUGCGGAAGAGAUAAGUGCUGAAAGCAUCUAAGCACGAAACUUGCCCCGAGAUGAGUUCUCCCUGACUCCUUGAGAGUCCUGAAGGAACGUUGAAGACGACGACGUUGAUAGGCCGGGUGUGUAAG
rnacentral:rRNA from 1 species